rnacentral:lncRNA from 1 species
UAACAGCAUGAAGGUCGCGGCAGUGCUGUGCUUCGCUGCCACAUUGGCCGUUGCAGUUGCCAUACCGCCGCCAGAAUCAGGAGAAGCUUCUGCAUUUGCCAAAGCCCCAACUGUGCCUGCCUUUGCACCCGCUCCCUUGGCACCGGCGACACCAAAGAUGGCCAAGAUAUACCAAACAGUGUCAGCUUUCUUCCUGCCUCCCAUCCCGAUCCCUGAUUAAGAAGUCCAUAAAUGGCUCUGCCUAAUCUUACCUUUCGAAGAUCUUGUAAAUCACAUAUUUGAGCCUAUUUAGAAAUGGGAUAGGCCUAGUUUAAAAAGUGGAUUUUGUAUUUACAGUAAUUUGUUGAAAAAUGUGAAAUGCACCAAAAUAAAAGUUUAUGUUGUA